rnacentral:rRNA from 1 species
UACGUAGGUGGCAAGCGUUGUCCGGAUUUACUGGGCGUAAAGAGCGCGCAGGCGGUCGAUUAAGUCGAAUGUGAAAGCCCCCGGCUCAACUGGGGAGGGUCAUUCGAUACUGAUCGACUUGAAGGCAGGAGAGAGAAGUGGAAUUCCCGGUGUAGUGGUGAAAUGCGUAGAUAUCGGGAGGAACACCAGUGGCGAAGGCGGCUCACUGGGUCUCUUCUGACGCUGAGGAACGAAAGCUAGGGGAGCAAACGGG